AACGAACGCUGGCGGCAGGCCUAACACAUGCAAGUCGAACGCCCCACAAGGGGAGUGGCGCACGGGUGAGUAACGCGUGGGAAUAUGCCCUUCGGUUCGGAAUAACACAGGGAAACUUGUGCUAAUACCGGAUACGAUCCACGGAUGAAAGAUUUAUCGCCGAGGGAGUAGCCCGCGUAGGAUUAGCUAGUUGGUGAGGUAACGGCUCACCAAGGCGACGAUCCUUAGCUGGUUUGAGAGGAUGAUCAGCCACACUGGGACUGAGACACGGCCCAGACUCCUACGGGAGGCAGCAGUGGGGAAUAUUGGACAAUGGGCGAAAGCUUGAUCCAGCCAUGCCGCGUGAGUGAUGAAGGCCUUAGGGUUGUAAAGCUCUUUCGCCAGGGAAGAUAAUGACGGUACCUGGAAAAGAAGCCUCGGCUAACUCCGUGCCAGCCGCCGCAGUAA
rnacentral:rRNA from 1 species